rnacentral:sRNA from 1 species
GGAAGGAUCAUUACAGAAUUGUCAACGGGUUGUUGCUGGUCCUCGAACGGGGACAUGUGCACGCUCUGUUUACACAUCCACUCACACCUGUGCACCCUCCGUAGUUCUGUGGUCUGGGGGACCCCUGUCCUCCUGCCGUGGUUCUAUGUCUUUACACACACACUGUAAUAAAGUAUUAUGGAAUGCAUGCCGCGUCUAACGCAAUACAAUACAACUUUCAGCAACGGAUCUCUUGGCUCUCGCAUCGAUGAAGAACGCAGCGAAAUGCGAUAAGUAAUGUGAAUUGCAGAAUUCAGUGAAUCAUCGAAUCUUUGAACGCACCUUGCGCCCCUUGGCUAUUCCGAGGGGCAUGCCUGUUUGAGUAUCAUGAACACCUCAACUCUCACGGUUCGCCGUGAUGAGCUUGGACUCUGGGGGUUUUGCUGGCCUGCGGUCGGCUCCCCUCAAAUGAAUCAGCCUCCCAGUGUUUGGUGGCAUCACGGGUGUGAUAAAUAUCUACGCUCGCAGUUGUCCGCCAGGUAACCUUUGGUGACAAAGGUUCGCUGGAGCUCACAGAUGUCUCUCCUCAGCGAGGACAGCUUUUUGAACGUUCGAUCUCAAAUCAGGUAGGACUACCCGCUGAACUUAAGCAUAUCAAUAAGCGGAGGAAA